GACGAACGCUGGCGGCGUGCUUAACACAUGCAAGUCGAACGGAAAGACCAAGCUUUUGUGGGGUGCUCGAGUGGCGAACGGGUGAGUAACAAGUGAGUAACCUGCCCUUGAAUUUGGGAUAACUUCAGGAAACAGGGGCUAAUACCGGCUAGGAGCGUCGGAUGCAUGGUGGGGGGUGGAAAGUUUCGGCGGUUGGGGAUGGACUCGCGGCUUAUCAGCUUGCUGGUGGGGUAGUGGUUUCCCCAGGCAUUGACUGGUAGACGACAUUAGAGGGGGACCGGCGACCUGCGGCCUGCGAGACGGAGCAGACGCCUACGUUAGGCAGUAGGGGGGAAUAUUGCACAGUGGGCGCAAGCCUAAGGCGGCAACGCUGCGGGUGGGAUGUCCGCCUUCCGGUUGUAAACCGCUUACGCCUGUUACGAAUCCUGAUUGACGGUAAUGGGUAAAGAAGCACCGGCUAACUACGUG
rnacentral:rRNA from 1 species